CAGCAGCAGCCGCGGUAAUACGAAGGGGGCUAGCGUUACUCGGAAUUACUGGGCGUAAAGCGUGCGUAGGUGGUUGUUUAAGUCUGCUGUGAAAGCCCUGGGCUCAACCUGGGAAUUGCAGUGGAUACUGGGUCACUAGAGUGUGGUAGAGGAUAGUGGAAUUUCCGGUGUAGCAGUGAAAUGCGUAGAGAUCGGAAGGAACAUCUGUGGCGAAGGCGACUAUCUGGGCCAACACUGACACUGAGGCACGAAAGCGUGGGGAGCAAACAGGAUUAGAUACCCGGGUAGUCCCUGUCUCUUAUAC
rnacentral:rRNA from 1 species